rnacentral:lncRNA from 1 species
GUUUUUGGCCUUUUCUUUAUAUAUGUGGCCUAGCAAUAUCCUGUGUUUGGAAAAGUAUAAACCUAAGGCAUCACCUUUACAGAAAAUAUCUUCCACGGAAACAUCUAAAGGCAAAAAUCCUUCAAAUUCAAAUUUAUCCAAUCAUUUCUUCUGCUUACUACCAUCCUAAAUCAUUUUUCUUUAGUAAGAUCUAUUAGUGUGAAGCUAUUAAGCUAUUAAUGUAUGUAUCAUAUUAAUGUAUUAAGACAUUAAGUGAGGAAGUAAAGUUGCAUUCACAGGCCUUGAACUUUUCCACAUCUCGAUUUUUACCCAUCAUCUCUGCAUAGUUCCCUAAGGCAGCCUUCAAAUGGUGAUGUUUCUUAUAAUCCAGAGUUCAGAAGUGGCUUCUCUUCAAUCUUUCUGUGGAAUUCUAAACCACGUGAUAAAGGAGCUGGUGGCCACAGAUCAGCCCUGGGGUUCAGAGGGAUCCUGACAGCUACUCCUCAAGAUCCUCUCUGUUGUGAUUCAUCCCCCCGGGGCCCUACAGUUUCUCCUUCCUGACUCUUACAUUUCUUUGGAUGGCAUCAUUAUUUUAGGUGCCAAGCACUGUGGAUUCUGCCUCUCAGUGUCCAGACACCCAUUU